rnacentral:rRNA from 1 species
ACAUGCAAGUCGAGCGAACAGAUAAGGAGCUUGCUCCUUUGACGUUAGCGGCGGACGGGUGAGUAACACGUGGGUAACCUACCUAUAAGACUGGGAUAACUUCGGGAAACCGGAGCUAAUACCGGAUAACAUUUGGAACCGCAUGGUUCUAAAGUGAAAGAUGGUUUUGCUAUCACUUAUAGAUGGACCCGCGCCGUAUUAGCUAGUUGGUAAGGUAACGGCUUACCAAGGCAACGAUACGUAGCCGACCUGAGAGGGUGAUCGGCCACACUGGAACUGAGACACGGUCCAGACUCCUACGGGAGGCAGCAGUAGGGAAUCUUCCGCAAUGGGCGAAAGCCUGACGGAGCAACGCCGCGUGAGUGAUGAAGGGUUUCGGCUCGUAAAACUCUGUUAUUAGGGAAGAACAAACGUGUAAGUAACUGUGCACGUCUUGACGGUACCUAAUCAGAAAGCCACGGCUAACUACGUGCCAGCAGCCGCGGUAAUACGUAGGUGGCAAGCGUUAUCCGGAAUUAUUGGGCGUAAAGCGCGCGUAGGCGGUUUCUUAAGUCUGAUGUGAAAGCCCACGGCUCAACCGUGGAGGGUCAUUGGAAACUGGGAAACUUGAGUGCAGAAGAGGAAAGUGGAAUUCCAUGUGUAGCGGUGAAAUGCGCAGAGAUAUGGAGGAACACCAGUGGCGAAGGCGACUUUCUGGUCUGUAACUGACGCUGAUGUGCGAAAGCGUGGGGAUCAAACAGGAUUAGAUACCCUGGUAGUCCACGCCGUAAACGAUGAGUGCUAAGUGUUAGGGGGUUUCCGCCCCUUAGUGCUGCAGCUAACGCAUUAAGCACUCCGCCUGGGGAGUACGACCGCAAGGUUGAAACUCAAAGGAAUUGACGGGGACCCGCACAAGCGGUGGAGCAUGUGGUUUAAUUCGAAGCAACGCGAAGAACCUUACCAAAUCUUGACAUCCUUUGAAAACUCUAGAGAUAGAGCCUUCCCCUUCGGGGGACAAAGUGACAGGUGGUGCAUGGUUGUCGUCAGCUCGUGUCGUGAGAUGUUGGGUUAAGUCCCGCAACGAGCGCAACCCUUAAGCUUAGUUGCCAUCAUUAAGUUGGGCACUCUAGGUUGACUGCCGGUGACAAACCGGAGGAAGGUGGGGAUGACGUCAAAUCAUCAUGCCCCUUAUGAUUUGGGCUACACACGUGCUACAAUGGACAAUACAAAGGGCAGCUAAACCGCGAGGUCAUGCAAAUCCCAUAAAGUUGUUCUCAGUUCGGAUUGUAGUCUGCAACUCGACUACAUGAAGCUGGAAUCGCUAGUAAUCGUAGAUCAGCAUGCUACGGUGAAUACGUUCCCGGGUCUUGUACACACCGCCCGUCACACCACGAGAGUUUGUAACACCCGAAGCCGGUGGAGUAACCAUUUAUGGAGCUAGCCGUCGA